UACGAAGGGGGCUAGCGUUGUUCGGAAUCACUGGGCGAAAAGCGCACGUAGGCGGACGUUUAAGUCAGGGGUGAAAUCCCAGGGCUCAACCCUGGAACUGCCCUUGAUACUGGCCGUCUCGAGUCCGGGAGAGGUGAGUGGAACUCCGAGUGUAGAGGUGAAAUUCGUAGAUAUUCGGAAGAACACCAGUGGCGAAGGCGGCUCACUGGCCCUGUACUGACGCUGAGGUGCGAAAGCGUGGGGAGCAAACAGG
rnacentral:rRNA from 1 species